rnacentral:rRNA from 1 species
AGGGUUCGAUUCUGGCUCAGGAUGAACGCUAGCUACAGGCUUAACACAUGCAAGUCGAGGGGCAGCAUGGUCUUAGCUUGCUAAGAUUGAUGGCGACCGGCGCACGGGUGAGUAACGCGUAUCCAACCUUCCCUAUAGUAGGGGAUAGCCCGUAGAAAUGCGGAUUAAUACCCUAUGUUGUAUUUCGAGGACAUCUGACGAAUACCAAAGGUUCACCGCUAUAGGAUGGGGAUGCGUCUGAUUAGGUAGUCGGCGGGGUAACGGCCCACCGAGCCAACGAUCAGUAGGGGUUCUGAGAGGAAGGUCCCCCACAUUGGAACUGAGACACGGUCCAAACUCCUACGGGAGGCAGCAGUGAGGAAUAUUGGUCAAUGGGCGAGAGCCUGAACCAGCCAAGUAGCCGUGCAGGAUGACGGCCCUAUGGGUUGUAAACUGCUUUUAUGCGGGGAUAAAGUGAGGGACGUGUCCCUUAUUGUAGGUACCGCAUGAAUAAGGACCGGCUAAUUCCGUGCCAGCCGCCGC